GGUGACAGAAUGGAGAAAAAAACCUUGGGAGAAACCAGGCUCAGUUGGGGGGCCAGUUCUCCUCUGACCAGACGAAACCAGUAGUUCAAUUCCAGGCUGCAGCAAAGUCAGAUUGUGCAGAAGAAUCAUCGGUUUCCUGUGGUCUUGUCCUGGUGGUCCUCUGAGACAAGGUCUUUACAGGGGAUCUGUAUCUGGGGCUCUAGUUGUCCUGGUCUCCGCUGUCUUUCAGGGAUGUAGAGGUCCUUUCUAGGUGCUGAUCCACCAUCUGGUCUGGAUACGUACUGGAUCCGGGUGACUGCAGUGACCCUCUGAUCUGGACACAGACUGGAUCUCGUGGCCACGGUGACCUCGGAACAAGAGAGAAACAGACAAAUAUUAGCGUAGAUGCCAUUCUUCUAAUGAUGUAGAAAGUACGGUGUUAUGUGAAGUGUUUCCGGUUCCGGUUUACCUAAUUAAUGCAGCCUAAAAAUCCUUUAACGGAUUUGGAUAUUAAAAGCAUAUUAGUAUGUUAUGUGUAUGCCAGGUUAAAGAGAUGGGUCUUUAAUCUAGAUUUAAACUGCAAGAGUGUGUCUGCCUCCCAAACAAUGUUAGGUAGGUUAUUCCAGAGUUUAGGCGCCAAAUAGGAAAAGGAUCUGCCGCCCGCAGUUGAUUUUGAUAUUCUAGGUAUUAUCAAAUUGCCUGAGUUUUGAGAACGUAGCGGACGUAGAGGAGUAUAAUGUAAAAGGAGCUCAUUCAAAUACUGAGGUGCUAAACCAUUCAGGGCUUUAUAAGUAAUAAGCAAUAUUUUAAAAUCUAUACGAUGUUUGAUAGGGAGCCAGUGCAGUGUUGACAGGACCGGGCUAAUAUGGUCAUACUUCCUGGUUCUAGUAAGAACUCUUGCUGCUGCAUUUUGGACU